rnacentral:rRNA from 1 species
AUUGAACGCUGGCGGAAUGCUUUACACAUGCAAGUCGAACGGCAGCACGGACUUCGGUCUGGUGGCGAGUGGCGAACGGGUGAGUAAUGUAUCGGAACGUGCCCAGUCGUGGGGGAUAACGUAGUGAAAAUUACGCUAAUACCGCAUACGAUCUAUGGAUGAAAGCGGGGGAUCGCAAGACCUCGCGCGAUUGGAGCGGCCGAUAUCAGAUUAGGUAGUUGGUGGGGUAAAGGCCCACCAAGCCAACGAUCUGUAGCUGGUCUGAGAGGACGACCAGCCACACUGGAACUGAGAAACGGUCCAGAGUCCUACGGGAGGCAGCAGUGGGGAAUUUUGGACAAUGGGCGAAAGCCUGAUCCAGCCAUUCCGCGUGCAGGAUGAAGGCCCUCGGGUUGUAAACUGCUUUUGUACAGAACGAAAAGGUUUCUACUAAUACUAGGAGCUCAUGACGGUACUGUAAGAAUAAGCACCGGCUAACUACGUGCCAGCCGCCGCCGCGG